GAUCCAUUUUCAAACAUAUCAUCUCUGUUGUCAUGGCAGCGUUUUAAGCACAAGUGAGCAUCACAAGCAGAUCUUGCUGCCUUUAGGUGCUGUGGCUGUGCCCUGGAAGUGAACCUAGAGAUCCUACACCC